AGUGAACGCUGGCGGUAGGCCUAACACAUGCAAGUCGAACGGCAGCACAGUAAGAGCUUGCUCUUACGGGUGGCGAGUGGCGGACGGGUGAGGAAUACAUCGGAAUCUACUUUUUCGUGGGGGAUAACGUAGGGAAACUUACGCUAAUACCGCAUACGACCUACGGGUGAAAGCAGGGGAUCUUCGGACCUUGCGCGAUUGAAUGAGCCGAUGUCGGAUUAGCUAGUUGGCGGGGUAAAGGCCCACCAAGGCGACGAUCCGUAGCUGGUCUGAGAGGAUGAUCAGCCACCCUGGAACUGAGACACGGUCCAGACUCCUACGGGAGGCAGCAGUCGGGAAUAUUGCACAAUGGGCGCAAGACUGAUCCAGCAAUACCGCGUGGGUGAAGAAGGCCUUCCGGUUGUAAAGCCCUUUUGUUGGGAAAGAAAAGCAGCAGGUUAAUACCCCGCUGUUCUGACGGUACCCAAAGAAUAAGCACCGGCUAACUUCGUG
rnacentral:rRNA from 1 species